UACCCGCUGAAUUUAAGCAUAUAAGCAAGCGGAGGACAGAAAACUGAAAAGGAUUCCUUCAGUAAUGGCGAAUGAACAAGGAAUAGCUCACCUUGACAAUCUGAACCAAUGGUUUAGAUAUGCAUACUAUACAUGCAUUGCCAAUGAAAGUGUGCAUGUAAGCCUUUUGGAAGAAAGUAGCAAUGAAGGUGAAACUCCUGUGUGUCAUGUGCAAUCUUUCAUGCAUGGUGUGCUUCCAAGAGUCGUGUUCCUUGGAAGUGGAGCGCAAAUGGGGUGGUAACAUUCAUCCAAAGCUGAAUAUGUGUUUGAGACCGAUAGUAAACAAGUACCAUGAGGGAAAUGUGAAAAGGACUUUGAAAAGAAAGUUAGAAGUACCUGAAGUUGCUGAAAUGAAAGCAAAUGAAAUUGGAGGCUUAAAGCAAGAUUGCGGUGCGCAGAAUACAUUCAAUGGGUGUGCAUGACUUGACACUCUUGGUUGUCGCAUGUGCAUUGUGUGUCUUGCUAUGCAUGUCACAUCUAAGUUGUAAUGUUAAUAUGUUGAGUAUGAGGUAUCGCACAUUGCUUGGCGUGACCAUGCACAAAACUGACAUUCAACUUGGUGUUGUGCUUAGUUGUCUGUCUUUUGCAAAUCAAAUGCAUUAUGGCGUGUUUGGUAACGUGUGACCCUAAGUUUUCAUUUGACCCGUCUUGAAACACGGACCAAGGAGUCUAAUGCAUGUGCAAGUUUGUGGGUUCAUCAUUUGGGGCGCAAUGAAAAUGACAGCUGGGAUGUGUGCACUGACAGCCAACCAACCAGUUGUGGGAGGUUUGAGUUUGAGCAUAUUUAUUAGGACCCGAAAGAUGGUGAACUAUGCUUGAGUAAAAUAAAUUCAGGGGAAACUCUGAUGGAGGCUUGCAGCGGUACUGACGUGCAAAUCGUUCGUCAUACUUGGGUAUAGGGGCGAAAGACUAAUCGAACCAUCUAGUAGCUGGUUCCUUCCGAAGUUUCCCUCAGGAUAGCUGGAAUUGCAAAGUUUUAUCAGGUAAAGCGAAUGAUUAGAGGACUUGGGGGUGUCUUGUCCUUGACCUAUUCUCAAACUUUAAAUGGGUAAGCACCAAAUGUUGUUUUGUAAACCUUUGGGAAAAUCUGAAUUCUAUGUGGGCCAUUUUUGGUAAGCAGAAUUGGCGAUGAGGGAUGAACCUAACGUUGGGUUAAAGUGCUUUACUGCUCGCUCAUCAGAUACCAUAAAAGGUGUUGGUUCAUUUAAACAGCAGGACGGUGGUCAUGGAAGUCGAAAUCCGCUAAGGAGUGUGUAACAACUCACCUGCCGAAUGGACUAGCCCUGAAAAUGGAUGGCGCUCAAGCGGGUGACUGAUACCUAGCCGCUGUGGAAAAUAUUUGUCAACAGUGAGUAGGGGGUGCAACAGCUUGUGAUGAAGCUCUUGGGGCAAGCCUGGGUGAAACAGCUCUUACUGCAGAUCUUGGUGGUAGUAGCA
rnacentral:rRNA from 1 species